rnacentral:lncRNA from 10 species
CAAAACCUCCUAUUUGAAUCUCAGAGCUCUUCUUCAUUUCUGCUAGCAGCAGAGGGGAAAAGCAGGGCUAUUUGUGUGGAGCAGACAGGAGAAAACUGAGAAGAAAGAAGCAGAAACAAGAGAGUCAAGAGGGAGAAAUGGGAAGCGAAUUUCUAAUGAGUUUACACCUACUCAGAAGUGGGCCAGGGAAAGUGAGCCACACCCCCAAAUAAUUCAAACUGUGCAUGCCAACUUCUUUUUUCCAAUCCCAGGAAAAAUAAGCAACAAAACACAUACUAGAAUCAGAAGCUCCAGACUCACAUACCAGUUAUGCCCUUUACAUGCUAAUGUCCCCAGAACUUAGUUUCCUCACCUGCAGAAUGCAGGUAACAUUAAUACCUUUCAGAGAGUAGUGCUCAGAAGAUCCAAAAAGACACUAGAGGUAAAAGGACUUUCUAACCAGAGAACAGUACCUAUUUUUAUGGAAAGGCUACCUUGAAAACUUUUCUCCAGCCUUCAUUCUCAUUUUGCAAACUCUCAAAUCACAGAUUUAUUUUUUCCUAUGCCUCCCACAAUAUUCUGUACCUUUAUGCAAGAGCUCUUAUUAUCUAUUUACAUAU